rnacentral:rRNA from 1 species
AGUGCACGCUGGCGGUAGGCCUAACACAUGCAAGUCGAACGGCAGCACAGUAAGAGCUUGCUCUUACGGGUGGCGAGUGGCGGACGGGUGAGGAAUACAUCGGAAUCUACUUUUUCGUGGGGGAUAACGUAGGGAAACUUACGCUAAUACCGCAUACGACCUACGGGUGAAAGCAGGGGAUCUUCGGACCUUGCGCGAUUGAAUGAGCCGAUGUCGGAUUAGCUAGUUGGCGGGGUAAAGGCCCACCAAGGCGACGAUCCGUAGCUGGUCUGAGAGGAUGAUCAGCCACACUGAACUGAGACACGGUCCAGACUCCUACGGGAGGCAGCAGUGGGGAAUAUUGGACAAUGGGCGCAAGCCUGAUCCAGCCAUACCGCGUGGGUGAAGAAGGCCUUCGGGUUGUAAAGCCCUUUUGUUGGGAAAGAAAAGCAGCAGGUUAAUACCCCGCUGUUCUGACGGUACCCAAAGAAUAAGCACCGGCUAACUUCGUG